rnacentral:rRNA from 1 species
CCAUCAUUCAGUUGGGCACUCUAGCGAGACUGCCGGUAAUAAACCGGGAGGAAGGUGGGAUGACGUCAAAUCAUCAUGCCCCUUAUGACCUGGGCUACACACGUGCUACAAUGGGAAGGGACAAUAGGUUGCGAAGCCGCGAGGUGGAGCCAAUCCAGCAAAACUUACCCUCAGUUCAGAUUGCAGGCUGCAACUCGCCUGCAUGAAGUUGGAGUUGCUAGUAAACGCAGGUCAGCCAUACUGCGUUGAAUACGUUCCCGGGGCUU